rnacentral:rRNA from 1 species
ACCCUGUGAAGGCCCAACAGUAAGCAGAAGUGGCACACCCCAAAACGUCAGGUCGAGGUGUAGCGCAUGGAAGGGGAAGAAAUGGGCUACAUUCACUGCAUCAGUGAAUACGGAUAGUGCAUUGAAACAUGCACUUGAAGGAGGAUUUAGCAGUAAGUAGAAAGCAGAGUGUUCCACUGAAAAUGGCCCUGAAGCGCGCACACACCGCCCGUCACUCUCCCCGAGCUCCCCAAAACCCAACUAACUAAAACCAGCACUAGCAAUUAGGGGAGGCAAGUCGUAACAUGGUAAGUGUACCGGAAGGUGUACUUGGAAUAUA